rnacentral:rRNA from 1 species
AGAGUUUGAUCCUGGCUCAGGAUGAACGCUAGCGACAGGCUUAACACAUGCAAGUCGAGGGGCAGCGGGGGAGUAGCAAUACUCCCGCCGGCGACCGGCGCACGGGUGAGUAACACGUAUGAAACCUGCCCGUAGCAGGGGGAUAAGCGGAAGAAAUUCCGUCUAAUACCGCGUAACAACCCUUGGAGGCAUCUCCUCGGGUUUAAAGGGAGCGAUUCCGGCUACGGAUGGUCAUGCGUCGCAUUAGCUUGUUGGCGGGGUAACGGCCCACCAAGGCGACGAUGCGUAGGGGUUCUGAGAGGAAGGUCCCCCACACUGGUACUGAGACACGGACCAGACUCCUACGGGAGGCAGCAGUGAGGAAUAUUGGUCAAUGGCCGCAGGGCUGAACCAGCCAAGUCGCGUGAGGGAUGACGGUCCUAUGGAUUGUAAACCUCUUUUGUCAGGGAGCAAAGGGCGUCACGUGUGGCGUUUUGCGAGUACCUGAAGAAAAAGCAUCGGCUAACUCCGUGCCAGCAGCCGCGGUAAUACGGAGGAUGCGAGCGUUAUCCGGAUUUAUUGGGUUUAAAGGGUGCGCAGGCGGAAUGUCAAGUCAGCGGUAAAAUUUCGGGGCUCAACCCCGUCGUGCCGUUGAAACUGGCGUUCUUGAGUGAGCGAGAAGUAUGCGGAAUGCGUGGUGUAGCGGUGAAAUGCAUAGAUAUCACGCAGAACUCCGAUUGCGAAGGCAGCAUACCGGCGCUCAACUGACGCUCAUGCACGAAAGCGUGGGUAUCGAACAGGAUUAGAUACCCUGGUAGUCCACGCAGUAAACGAUGAAUACUAACUGUCCGGGCAGAAUGAUGUCUGGGUGGUACAGCGAAAGCGUUAAGUAUUCCACCUGGGGAGUACGCCGGCAACGGUGAAACUCAAAGGAAUUGACGGGGGCCCGCACAAGCGGAGGAACAUGUGGUUUAAUUCGAUGAUACGCGAGGAACCUUACCCGGGCUCAAACGACGGAUGGAUGUUUCUGAAAGGAGGCAGUCCUACGGGACAUCCGUCGAGGUGCUGCAUGGUUGUCGUCAGCUCGUGCCGUGAGGUGUCGGCUUAAGUGCCAUAACGAGCGCAACCCCCAUCGCCAGUUACCAGCAAGUAAAGUUGGGGACUCUGGCGAGACUGCCGGCGCAAGCUGUGAGGAAGGCGGGGAUGACGUCAAAUCAGCACGGCCCUUACGUCCGGGGCGACACACGUGUUACAAUGGCAGGUACAGAGAGAUGCGAUGUGGCGACGCAGAGCGGAACUUCAAAGCCUGUCUCAGUUCGGAUUGGAGUCUGCAACCCGACUCCAUGAAGCUGGAUUCGCUAGUAAUCGCGCAUCAGCCACGGCGCGGUGAAUACGUUCCCGGGCCUUGCACUCACCGCCCGUCAAG